rnacentral:ncRNA from 1 species
GGAACAGGUGCUAUUACCAAAGGUAAAGCUUAAAAGGGAAGCCGGUGCAAAUCCGGCGCGGUCCCCGCCACUGUAAUGGGGAGAGGUCUCACAUAAAGCCACUGGGCGUUAACCCGGGAAGGCGUGAGGUCUCGGUGAACCUGAGCCAGGAGACCUGCCUGUUCCGU